AUUGAACGCUGGCGGCAGGCCUAACACAUGCAAGUCGAGCGAGCGGCGGUCGGGUGAGUAAUGUAUGGGGUUCUGCCUGAGGGUGGGGGAUAACUACUGGAAACGGUAGCUAACACCGCAUACCAUCAGAUGAACCCAUAUGGGAUUAGCAUGUAGGUGAGGUAACGGCUUACCUGGGCGACGAUCCCUAGCCGGUCUGGGAGGAUGGUCAGCCACACUGGGACUGGGACACGGCCCAGACUCCUCCGGGAGGCAGCAGUGGGGAAUAUUGCACAAUGGCCGCAAGCCUGAUGCAGCCAUGCCGCGUGUAUGAAGAGGGCUUUCGGGUUGUAAAGUACUUUCAGUCGGGAGGCGUUACCGACAGAAGAAGCCCCGGCUAACUCCGUGCCAGCAGCCGCGGUAAUAC
rnacentral:rRNA from 1 species